rnacentral:rRNA from 1 species
GAACUGAAGAGUUUGAUCCUGGCUCAGAUUGAACGCUGGCGGCAUGCCUUACACAUGCAAGUCGAACGGCAGCGCGGGCUUCGGCCUGGCGGCGAGUGGCGAACGGGUGAGUAAUACAUCGGAACGUGCCCUGUCGUGGGGGAUAACUAGUCGAAAGAUUAGCUAAUACCGCAUACGACCUGAGGGUGAAAGCGGGGGACCGUAAGGCCUCGCGCGAUAGGAGCGGCCGAUGUCUGAUUAGCUAGUUGGUGGGGUAAAGGCCUACCAAGGCGACGAUCAGUAGCUGGUCUGAGAGGACGAUCAGCCACACUGGGACUGAGACACGGCCCAGACUCCUACGGGAGGCAGCAGUGGGGAAUUUUGGACAAUGGGGGCAACCCUGAUCCAGCAAUGCCGCGUGUGUGAAGAAGGCCUUCGGGUUGUAAAGCACUUUUGUCCGGAAAGAAAUGGCCUGGGUUAAUACCCCGGGUCGAUGACGGUACCGGAAGAAUAAGCACCGGCUAACUACGUGCCAGCAGCCGCGGUAAUACGUAGGGUGCGAGCGUUAAUCGG